UCUGAUGAAGUAUUUCUCCUCCAUUUCAGAAAGCUGCUAAUGUGGCAUAUUAUAUCCUCUCUGGGGGAGAGUCUUACCCUCAGUCUGACGGUGAUGGCAGCUGGAGUAACAAGUGCCUCAUCCUGGACCUCAUUGAGGGCAUGAUCCGCUCAGGAAGUCUGGAGUAUGCUCUCCACCACCCCAUCUUCUGGUCCGAGAUCCGACAGACGUGGUACCUGCAGGCUGUGGGGAACUUCAUAAUUCAUAGUAAAUAUGACGAAGGGGUCAAACGGAAACUCAUCAAAGCAUCCAAGGGCAAGUCUUUCAUGACGUGGCGACAACAGGUGGAAAAAGAUUUUGCUGGGCUUUUGGAGGGCAUGGAUAAGUAUUUGAAGACCCCCUACCCGGACAAUACAUGGGGGCUUCUGCGCUUCAUACGCAAUGUGUACCAACACAGAGCUGAGCUGGCCCUGUCCAUGAAGUUCACCUCACCUCACCUGACCUCUUUGAGACCGUCUACUUAUUUGCUGAGGAGAUGGGCUGGAACUCCAGGAGAUCUCUACAGGACAUCUUCACCGAAUGGGAGAGUCUUUGGCGUCACUGUGUUAUGACCUCUAUGUUUUACUGUCAUUUUCCCUGUUAAACACACGGGUUUUAAUCUGUUUAAGAGAUUUGAGAGAGAACUUAUUUGUGAAUUGGUAAAAAUAUAAUUUUGUGACUUGUAGAGAAUUUCUUUGGUCCAUUCAUCCAUUUCACAGCUGGCAUUUUCAAAUUAUGUAGAAAAAGGUAACGAUGCCAGAUUUUGCCCAAACAGAAAUGAGAGUUUUCAGAACAAAACCUCGUAUCUCCAUUUGUGAAAACGCCUGUUGUCCUUUAUAUUGUGUGUAAAUUUCAUGAUGAAUGGACAAAAAGAAACGGCCCAAAAUGAUGUGGAAAACAUUCUGGUUCCAUCGACUUACAUUAAAAGUAAAUGAGGUUUUUUCCUUCUCCUGUAAAGUUCCCAUUCUGGAGAUAUGAAGUUCUUCCAACAGCAGCAAUAAGUAAUGCUAUAAAUAACUACUUAUAUGCUCCUAAUGUUAAACGUGUAGAACACUGGACAACUUGUUUUCCAGAUUUUCUAGCUCUUUAGCAGCAGAUACGUCAUCUCACUCACUUCUUUCUGUUUGUAAUUUUUUAGAACCACCACAGUUUGGCCGAAGGGGGCGGUUCCACUGCAGCAGAGCCGUUUGUCCUGCACUGGCUGAAGCCAAUUUGCUGCCAAAUCCCGACCAGACCCCCAGCCUAACCCUGACCCUACAUUCAGAUCAGUCACUUUCAUUUCUGAAAUAAUUUCACUGCUAAAACCAUUUUUUCCAUCUUUUACACUUCCACUUUUUAAAUAGUUACUUUUAUUUAACGUUUCAAAAUGUGGCAGUUAACCCCAGUAUUGAAUGUCGCUGCCGCGUCCGGUCACUCCUCACUCGACACUCGGCUGAGACAGAGAGGAUGGAGAUAAAGUUUACAUCCAAACGUUUUUAUGAAGGAAUUUUUAUGAAGCUGCCAAGACGACAUUGAUUGUGAUUGUGAAAACUAUUCGCUCUUUAGAGAAAUGAGAGUUUAUACUUUUACAAAAGUAUUUAUUAAUCUUAUUCGGUCAAAUGUUCUGUGUGUUCGUGUCCUUUCAGUGUUUUGAUGACUAUAAAUAUGUUUAGAUGCUUGCAGAUUUCAUACAGGGCACUGAAUAUUUUAGUUUACUGUUAUGCAGUAAGGGCUCACUUGUAAUGAUUUUGGUGACACUUUCUCUGAAUUUCACCUUUGUCAGCAUCUAUAAACACAUUCAUAACAUGUUAUAAUGCAUUCAUAAGGCAUUAUAAAACAUGGCUAUAAAUAUUUAUAAAAAUGCAUUCUAUGUUAUAGCCAUGCUUAUUAUGCAUUAUGAAUUGUUAAUGCUUUAUAAGUGCUGUUCAUAACACAUUAUAAGAGCUCAUAAGCUGUAUUAGUCCGGUCUGUGUAAAGUGGAGCGUACUGGACUAAAGCCUCCUCCAGGGUUCAGACUGAGGCUUCAAGUUGAAGAAUUUACUGAAGGAUUUACUGAAACACUAAAACACAAUAAGCUCAUUACAGGCUUCAAAUGUCAGAGUUUAAACUAGAGCAACAUCAGAGUUUCACCCAAUGUGGGAAAGUCAAUGUUCACCACUGUUUCACCACUGAGGGGCUCACUUCUUUGGCACUGACAGUAUAACAUGUGUGGAUUUUUACGUCUUUAGUAGCAUACUUUUGAGUAUUAAUGUUUGUGGUCGCACACUUUUGAGUAUUAAAGUUUGUAGUAGUAUACUUUUGAGUAUUAAAGUUUGUAGUAGUAUACUUUUGAGUAUUAAUGUUUGUGGUCGCACACUUUUGAGUAUUAAAGUUUGUAGUAGUAUACUUUUGAGUAUUAAAGUUUGUAGUAGUAUACUUUUGAGUAUUAAUGCUUGUAGUAGUAUACUUUUGAGUAUUAAAGUUUGUAGUAGUAUACUUUUGAGUAUUAAUGUUUGUAGUAGUAUACUUUUGAGUAUUAAAGUUUGUAGUAGUAUACUUUUGAGUAUUAAUGUUUGUGGUCGCACACUUUUGAGUAUUAAAGUUUGUAGUAGUAUACUUUUGAGUAUUAAAGUUUGUAGUAGUAUACUUUUGAGUAUUAAUGCUUGUAGUAGUAUACUUUUGAGUAUUAAAGUUUGUAGUAGUAUACUUUUGAGUAUUAAUGUUUGUAGUAGUAUACUUUUGAGUAUUAAAGUUUGUAGUAGUAUACUUUUGAGUAUUAAUGCUUGUAGUAGUAUACUUUUGAGUAUUAAAGUUUGUAGUAGUAUACUUUUGAGUAUUAAUGUUUGUAGUAGUAUACUUUUGAGUAUUAAAGUUUGUAGUAGUAUACUUUUGAGUAUUAAUGUUUGUAGUAGCACACUUGAGUAUUAAAGUUUGUAGUAGUAUACUUUUGAGUAUUAAAGUUUGUAGUAGUAUACUUUUGAGUAUUAAAGUUUGUAGUAGUAUACUUUUGAGUAUUAAUGCUUGUAGUAGUAUACUUUUGAGUAUUAAAGUUUGUAGUAGUAUACUUUUGAGUAUUAAUGUUUGUAGUAGUAUACUUUUGAGUAUUAAAGUUUGUAGUAGUAUACUUUUGAGUAUUAAUGCUUGUAGUAGUAUACUUUUGAGUAUUAAAGUUUGUAGUAGUAUACUUUUGAGUAUUAAUGUUUGUAGUAGUAUACUUUUGAGUAUUAAAGUUUGUAGUAGUAUACUUUUGAGUAUUAAUGUUUGUAGUAGCACACUUGAGUAUUAAAGUUUGUAGUAGUAUACUUUUGAGUAUUAAAGUUUGUAGUAGUAUACUUUUGAGUAUUAAAGUUUGUAGUAGUAUACUUUUGAGUAUUAAAGUUUGUAGUAGUAUACUUUUGAGUAUUAAAGUUUGUAGUAGUAUACUUUUGAGUAUUAAUGUUUGUAGUAGCACACUUGAGUAUUAAAGUUUGUAGUAGUAUACUUUUGAGUAUUAAAGUUUGUAGUAGUAUACUUUUGAGUAUUAAAGUUUGUAGUAGUAUACUUUUGAGUAUUAAAGUUUGUAGUAGUAUACUUUUGAGUAUUAAUGCUUGUAGUAGUAUACUUUUGAGUAUUAAUGCUUGUAGUAGUAUACUUUUGAGUAUUAAUGUUUGUAGUAGCACACUUUUGAGUAUUAAAGUUUGUAGUAGUAUACUUUUGAGUAUUAAAGUUUGUAGUAGCACACUUGAGUAUUAAAGUUUGUAGUAGUAUACUUUUGAGUAUUAAAGUUUGUAGUAGUAUACUUUUGAGUAUUAAAGUUUGUAGUAGUAUACUUUUGAGUAUUAAUGCUUGUAGUAGUAUACUUUUGAGUAUUAAUGCUUGUAGUAGUAUACUUUUGAGUAUUAAUGUUUGUAGUAGUACACUUUUGAGUAUUAAAGUUUGUAGUAGUAUACUUUUGAGUAUUAAAGUUUGUAGUAGUAUACUUUUGAGUAUUAAAGUUUGUAGUAGUAUACUUUUGAGUAUUAAUGUUUGUAGUAGCAC
ensembl:lncRNA